UUCUUCGUCCUAUUCCUCUUCUACAGGCAGCCGCCGGCGCCGCUUCCUCCCUCCCUCUCGGCUGCCUUGUCUCCUCUGCCUCCACCUCCUCCUCCCAUGUCUCCUCACUCGACCUCCCCUGCCUCCUCACCUGACUGGCACAGAUAGGACGAUGUGCAGGCAAAGGGAGAUGGCGGCGCUCGAUCCGAUCUGUAGGAGAGAGAAGAUGAGAGGGAGAGAUAGAAGGAAGGAGAGAAUGGAUGGUGUGGUCUUCAUGACGCGUGUGGAGGAGCAGGAGAGAAGAUGGGAGGGAGAGGGAGAGGAUCUUGAGGAAGAGUAUAGGACAAGGAAUUCCACAUAUUGAACCUUCAAGAUGACUUGAAAUGGACCUGGACAAUGUGAAUUGGGGCCAGUAUCUAAACACUCUGUUUUGGAACCUCAACUAUUGGGAUUGAAUCAGUAUGCUGGCUGGAGAGGAUUGACGGGGCUGCUCUCAUUUUCGGUUUGCUACUGCUCCUUGCAUUCUACCGCUUCUCAUUGUUGUCAUAAGAAGAUGAGAUGUUCUUCGGUACGAUGCUCCUGGCGUGUUUGAUGAAAUGUCUAUAAGAUGAUAUGUUACUCAUUCUCUCUUUCCUUCUCGGUUGGUUCUUGGGUCCUCCAUGUCGUUAGCCAUCAAGGCAGCCAAGACGGUGAAGAUCUGCUGCAUAUGAGUUGGCUACGUCCGCGGCCCAACAAUGGUUGUCAUUGCCAUCAAGUGCCCAACAAUUGAGGUGGUGGUUGUCGACAUCUCCAAGCCCCGCAUUCACGCCUGGAACAACGACACCCUCCCGAUCUACGAGCCCGGCCUCGAUGAUGUUGUCAAGGCGUGCAGGGGCAAGAACCUCUUCUUCAGCACCGACGUCGAGAAGCACAUCGCCGAGGCCGACAUCAUCUUUGUCUCGGUGAACACCCCCACCAAGACCCGAAGUCUGGGAGCCGGCAAGGCUGCCGACCUCACCUACUGGGAGAGCGCAGCCCGGAUGAUUGCCGACGUGUCCAACUCCGACAAGAUCGAUGUUGAUGAGUCCACUGUCCCUGUCAAGACCGCAGAGGCCAUUGAGAAGAUCCUGACCCACAACAACAAGGGCAUCAACUACCAGAUCCUGACCAACCCAGAGUUUCCUUGCCGAGGGCACGGCGACCGACGACCUGUUCAAGCCCGACAGAGUGCUCAUCGGUGGCCGGGAGACCCCCGAGGGCAGGAAGGCUGUCCAGGCCAUCAAGGAGGUGUAUGCCUACUGGGUGUCCGAGGAGAACAUCGUCACCACCAACCUGUGGUCUAAUGAGCUCUUCAAGCUCGCUGCCAACGCCUUCCUGGCAUAGAGGAUCUGCUUCGUGAACGCCAUGUCAGUGCUCUGUGAGGCCACGUGCGUGCUCGUGCUCAUGGUGGUUUCCCAUAUAUCAGCAGCGCGGAGGAGCUGGUAUCCUCAGCCAGAGUUGGGUGUACUUGCGGGCGACCUCACCCUCACCAGUGCAUCUGCAGGGGGCUGCUCUUUGAUUCAGAGUAAAAUCAAGUUCUUUACCUAUGGAGGAGGUAGAUACUGAUGGAGUGGAUGACAAGGUGUUCUCCAGGUUCUGCAUCAUCUCCAUACUCUGCAUCAUUAGUGAGCAACUUACCUAGGGAGGAGGUAGAUACUGACAGAGUGUAUGAGCAGUGAAUAAAAUAGAGGAGUGGCCUGUUCACCGGAGCAAGCGAGGAAGAUAGCUCAGCCCGACCACCAACGUCCACUCACCGGUUUCUUUGAUGCCUCGACCUCGAGCUGCAUCAGCUCGUUGAUAUGUGAUGGACAUCUCCCAGCAGUCCCUCGAUUGCCAGGCCACCGUGCCCGACCUCGACAAGGCGUUCGGAUGGUUGUGAGGCAGGUGCUGCUGUACCAGCGGUGCUACUAUGUUGCUCUGCCCUCAACCAUCCAAAUCAUUUCUACCAGACCCAAUCUUCCACUGCCAUCUCAUACAUAUGCAGGUACUAUCCAGUAUCUAUGCACGAGCUACCGAGCGUGAGUGUGGCCAUCACCCAGGAGCAGGAAGAAGAUGGUUUAAUAUAUUGGUGUCAGAGCGCUUGUUGCAAUAACCGUCAAAUCUUGAUUGUAUUAUAUUGAUCAGACCAAGAACUUUUUGGAUAAAUUAGCAUGAAGUGAUCAGGAGCAGAGAAAUAGAUAUGUCUUGAAGAAAUGGAUAUAUAUGGUUUUAAGGUUACAUGAAGAUAUAUAUGUCUAGAUCAAGUUGAGUACUGAGGGAAUUGCUUGAACCUGGCAUCGAAGGGUGAAGAAUAUGAGCAUCCGGAGUAUAUCAUUCGCAGUGAGCCAAUGCCAAGCUACAAUGCUUAUUAUCUUGUUCUGAUAUUCCCCAUUUAAAAUAAAAUGACCUAAUAGUUUUUAUGAUCUGCUAUACCUCUCUGACACCAAUUUUCUGCCAUAGAACCGAAAGAACAUAUAUUAGGCCGAUCAAUAAUGCUCAAGUUAACUAACUUGCUUACUAUAUUCUUCCUACCAUAGGUUUAAAGCUUAAUUCUACUUUUCUCUUGAUGAAAGCUUAGUCUCCUAACAAUAAAUAGUAUUCAGCCUCCUUACAUGUCAUUUCGAUCUUUCCAAAUCUUACCAAAACGAAACUAAAUUCAGGACCACCCCCUGCUAUCCAAUACUGCAGAGAGCUUGAAAGGUAUUGUCACUGUGGCAAUGAAGUGAAGCUCUAUCAGCACCAUGUGAACAAGUUGUUUGCCAUGUUCCGCCGCAGAAAAACAGAUAUCAAAUACUAUGUCUGCACCAUCAACAAAACAUUUGCAAAGCUAGGCCAACCAAUGUAUUUUCAGGUCAACUACACUGAAAGAAAAUUAAAUGAUUGCAUUGACCCAGAUUAUGAUACGCUCAAGGUCAGGCUUGCAAACAGUGAUCUACAAGCCAAUUGCCGCAUCAUGCUAGGAACCGACAAGAGAGCCAUUGUAACAAUCAACUGGUCUGAGUACCGUUGCCUUGCAAAAAUCCAUGGAGACAUCUCUGCCUUUCGUUUCAAGGUCACCACAAAGCAGCGCCGGGUUCUCAUGGUGCAUUUUUGUCGUGGUGACUACUCUCAGCCAGAUAUGUAUAGACUUUAGUCCUCCCUUGCUGUCUCUAUGGUGAAAAGUAGUCUACGAUCUUUAGAUUUUAUUGUUGUCUCUAUGGUCAAAAGCGGUUUACCAUCUCUUAUUGUAUAUAUGUGAAGGACUCCUCUUCUACUGUUGUUUCCAGAA